GACGAACGCUGGCGGCGUGCUUAACACAUGCAAGUCGAACGGAAAGGCCCUGCUUUUGUGGGGUGCUCGAGUGGCGAACGGGUGAGUAACACGUGAGUAACCUGCCCUUGACUUUGGGAUAACUUCAGGAAACUGGGGCUAAUACCGGAUAGGAGCUCCUGCUGCAUGGUGGGGGUUGGAAAGUUUCGGCGGUUGGGGAUGGACUCGCGGCUUAUCAGCUUGUUGGUGGGGUAGUGGCUUACCAAGGCUUUGACGGGUAGCCGGCCUGAGAGGGUGACCGGCCACAUUGGGACUGAGAUACGACCCAGACUCCUACGGGAGGCAGCAGUGGGGAAUAUUGCACAAUGGGCGGAAGCCUGAUGCAGCAACGCCGCGUGCGGGAUGACUGCCUUCGGGUUGUAGACCGCUUUCGCCUGUGACGAAGCGUGAAUGACGGUAAUGGGUAAAGAAGCACCGGCUAACUACGUG
rnacentral:rRNA from 1 species